UUUUAGCCAAUUUAAAUCACUGUUUCAUAUGUUUUUCUUAGAAAUUUAUCGUCUUUUUUUCUUAAAUUGAGUAUACUUGUUUUGUAUACACUCGUAUAAAGAAUCAGUGAGCGCUAAUAACCAUAACCGCGAUUGAGAAAUGUAUUCCUUGGUUUGGACUUGCAUUUUGCGUUUUCACGAAGAUCAAAGGAAAGGUGGCCCACAUCUAGCGAAUGCCGAAGAUGCACCAAACAUCUUCUGGGGGUUCUGGGGACUUCUGGGGGUGUUCUUACUGUGAAGGCGAUAAGGGCAUGUAAAACAACCUCCAAGUGCAAGCUGCUGGAAAAACUACCUCAGGAGAGUGGCUGGACGAGAACGACUGGAUGGAAAAGGCUAAAGGGACUCUCAUACAUGCAUGCAGUAUGAUAACUAUAUAAGACUGCAAUUACGGAGGUGGAAAGCAUAGUUUUGUCAUCACAGAAAUAAGGAGUUGGUCAUCUGAAUUGGUGUUUACACUGGGAACACAGUGAAAUCCUGCACCUGAGGUGCUGUGUGAGAAGCUACAAAACUGAAAAAGAAACAUGUUGGAACUAUACCAGGCAUUCCUGAACAAAUUGAG